GACGAACGCUGGCGGCGUGCUUAACACAUGCAAGUCGAACGGAAAGGCCCUGCUUUUGUGGGGUGCUCGAGUGGCGAACGGGUGAGUAACACGUGAGUAACCUGCCCUUGACUUUGGGAUAACUUCAGGAAACUGGGGCUAAUACCGGAUAGGAGCUCCUGCUGCAUGGUGGGGGUUGGAAAGUUUCGGCGGUUGGGGAUGGACUCGCGGCUUAUCAGCUUGUUGGUGGGGUAGUGGCUUACCAAGGCUUUGACGGGUAGCCGGCCUGAGAGGGUGACCGGCCACAUUGGGACUGAGAUACGGCCCAGACUCCUACGGGAGGCAGCAGUGGGGAAUAUUGCACAAUGGGCGGAAGCCUGAUGCAGCAACGCCGCGUGCGGGAUGACGGCCCUCGGGUGGUAAACCGCUUUCGCCUGUGACGAAGCGUGAGUGACGGUAAUGGGGAAAGAAGCACCGGCUAACUACGU
rnacentral:rRNA from 1 species